rnacentral:rRNA from 1 species
AUUGAACGCUGGCGGCAGGCCUAACACAUGCAAGUCGAACGAGUGGCGGACGGGUGAGUAAUGUCUGGGAAACUGCCCGAUGGAGGGGGAUAACUACUGGAAACGGUAGCUAAUACCGCAUACCAUCGGAUGUGCCCAGAUGGGAUUAGCUAGUAGGUGGGGUAAAGGCUCACCUAGGCGACGAUCCCUAGCUGGUCUGAGAGGAUGACCAGCCACACUGGGACGGAGACACGGUCCAGACUCCUACGGGAGGCAGCAGUGGGGAAUAUUGGGCAAUGGGCGCAAGCCUGAUGGAGCCAUGCCGCGUGUAUGAAGAAGGCCUUCGGGUUGUAAAGUACUUUCGGCAGAGAAGCGGUACCCGCAGAGGAAGCACCGGCUAACUCCGUGCCAGCAGCCGCGGUAAUUC